rnacentral:rRNA from 1 species
GUUGGGAAAGGUGCAACUGCACCGCAGAUGGAGGAGCCCGCGGCGCAUUAGCUAGUUGGUGGGGUAACGGCCUACCAAGGCGACGAUGAGUAGCCGACCUGAGAGGGUGGACGGCCACACUGGGACUGAGACACGGCCCAGACUCCUACGGGAGGCAGCAGUAGGGAAUCUUCCGCAAUGGGCGCAAGCCUGACGGAGCAACGCCGCGUGAGCGAAGAAGGCCUUCGGGUUGUAAAGCUCAGUCACUCGGGAAGAGCGGACGAAGGAGUGGAAAGCCUUCGUCGAGACGGUACCGAGAGAGGAAGCCC